UGGGGAAUAUUGCACAAUGGGCGAAAGCCUGAUGCAGCAACGCCGCGUGAGUGAUGAAGGCCUUCGGGUUGUAAAGCUCUGUCUUUUGGGACGAUAAUGACGGUACCAAAGGAGGAAGCCACGGCUAACUACGUGCCAGCAGCCGCGGUAAUACGUAGGUGGCAAGCGUUGUCCGGAUUUACUGGGCGUAAAGGAUGCGUAGGCGGAUUUUUAAGUGAGAUGUGAAAACCCUAAGCUUAACUUGGGGACUGCAUUUCAUACUGGAAAUCUAGAGUGCGGGAGAGGAGAAUGGAAUUCCUAGUGUAGCGGUGAAAUGCGUAGAGAUUAGGAAGAACACCAGUGGCGAAGGCGAUUCUCUGGACCGUAACUGACGCUGAGGCAUGAAAGCGUGGGUAGCAAACAGGAUACGAGUAUACCCUGGUAGUCCACGCCGUAAACGAUGAGUACUAGGUGUAGGAGGUAUCGACCCCUUCUGUGCCGCAGUUAACACAAUAAGUACUCCGCCUGGGAAGUACGAUCGCAAGAUUAAAACUCAAAGGAAUUGACGGGGUCAUAGCUGUUUUCCU
rnacentral:rRNA from 1 species